AAACAAACAAACAAACAGCCUUUACAGGGGUCAGCCAAGCCAGUGGGAAGCCUACGACAUUCCCCUGGGUCACUUAGUGAACUCCUACUCUUUCAUCAGGCCUCACUUGAACAUGACUUCCUCCAGAAGCCUUCCCAGACAUCUUUGAGCUAGAAAGUCAGAAGAGUAGAAUUGGAACCCAGCUCAGUCUGAUGCCACAUCCUUUGUUGUUUCCAUUAAAUCAGAGAAUUUCUUAGUGCUGAGAAACUAUUCUGGAACUUACAACAAAGAUAAAUAGCAGCUGCUACUGGUGCUGUUGAUUGCGAUUUCUGUUUGAAAAUGGAAUCUUGAGCAUCUGUUCUCUCCUUUUAUAUUUUACUGUGAGAGAAAAUCUAUUUUUUUCAAAAGGUAAUUCAUACACAUGGUAAAAAUUUAAACAAUAUAAAAACCUAUUUUUAAAAAACAUAUACUCUUGAGUAUUUCUGUGUACUUUGCUUUCAUCACUAAUACAUCUUUAAGUUUAUUCCAUAUUGGUACGCAAAAUACAUAUUUCAUUAUUCUAAUGAUUACAUAUUACUUAAUUCAAUUUGUAAUACAUAAAUGGCAGUUUACUAAUAUAACCAUAUAAAAAGUAAUCUAACAGAAGUUACAAUGUUUUAUCAGGUGAGCACUACACUGUUAUUUUAAUACUUGCCAGUUAAAUCAAGCAAUGUGACUGCUAAAAGUAGAAUUCCCAUACAGUAGGAAAGCACAAUUUAUUUUUAUAAUAAAAGCAAUAAAUGUG
rnacentral:lncRNA from 1 species